UUAAAAGUGUGGGUUUUGAGUUCGGCACAGAAACUAGCCAUUCUUUCUUCAAUGUUCAUUCGGAAAACUUGCCCAGCCUCUCUCAGUCUGACUCUUGGGCUUUACGAUCAUUGUCUUGGAAUCUUCUAAACCAGCGACAGAGUAGAAGAGGACUAUGAACCCACCAGGCAGGGAUGUCCUUAUACCGACCUUGCCAACCGAGAUGCAGGGUCCAACCGGGGUCGACUUGGACAGGCUGCACUGAGGCAGACGCAUUUGGGCUCAUGAAUGGGAAGGGACAGAGUGCCAAACUCCCUACCACAAAUGUAGCAGAUGAGAGCCUUUGGUCGGGCUGGGAUGCCACCAGCAGCUUUCCUGGGACCAGUGCGAUCAUC